UCCUACAACAAAAAAUAUCUGUCUACAGACAAAAAUGUGCCGAUCUCAUAUGAUCUCGAAGCUAAGCAGGUCAGCCUGUUUGGUAGUUGGAUGGAGACCACUAGGAAGACUAGGUGCUGUAGGGG
rnacentral:rRNA from 1 species